UACGGGAGGCAGCAGUGGGGAAUAUUGGGCAAUGGGCGAAAGCCUGACCCAGCAACGCCGCGUGAGUGAAGAAGGUUUUCGGAUUGUAAAGCUCUGUCCUUGGGGACGAAGGAAGUGACGGUACCCAAGGAGGAAGCCCCGGCUAACUACGUGCCAGCAGCCGCGGUAAU
rnacentral:rRNA from 1 species